UAAAUCAAUUUAGGUUUUCUAAGGAGAUUAAUAGGGAAAAAGGUAAAAGCCUUUGCAGCCCCCGCUACUGUGAAAUGGAUGAAAUUAUUAAUAACCACUGUCUUGAUUAAAAGAUGGGAAGGAAUAAGAGUAAGUUGAUAUUGAGCCAGGAUACCUGCCUAAAUUGA
rnacentral:ncRNA from 1 species